CGGCGGACGGGUGAGUAACGCGUAGGAAUCUACCUGGGUAGUGGGGGACAACAUGGUGAAAACCAUGCUAAUACCGCAUACGCCCUAAGGGGGAAAGCGGGGGAUCUUCGGACCUCGCGCUAUUGGAUGAGCCUGCGUAAGAUUAGCUAGUUGGUGGGGUAAAAGCUCACCAAGGCGACGAUCUUUAGCUGGUCUGAGAGGAUGAUCAGCCACACUGGAACUGAGACACGGUCCAG
rnacentral:rRNA from 1 species